rnacentral:lncRNA from 1 species
AAAAAGUGUGAACUAACACUACAGGUUGUCAUAUACAAAAAUAGUAGGUUGUUCAAGUGCAGAUGAGGUCGACUUCAAAAGCUAAAAUUGCAUCGACUACUGUCUGCGACAGUUAAAAUAUACAAGAAAUUUGUUCAUAUACAAGAAAAGUAGGUUGUCUGCUUCCAGUGGCACCAAGUAUAAACUGAAAAAACAUGUUCGGACGACUAGCUAAGAAUUAGUGGAACAUGAGAGCACUGGUUCAUCUCAAAUACAAAAAAAUAAGACAAGACUCUGAAGUACACCUAAAGAGUAGAUUGAUCCAAGGUCUGAAAAUCAUUAUAUGCAUCAGGUAGCAUCGUUUUAAGAUGACCAACGCAUGUUGCAGAACAGCUACAGAUUGUACAACUAUGCAAUUUUGCAUGAUAAAAAUACUCUCCCAGGCCAGGAGAUUGAGAUCAUAGAGCCUGAUGAACAAAUGGACCUUCAACAAAUUAGCAUCACUCUUUUUGGGCUUUGACGACAAAAUAACAGUAAGAAAGGUCCCUAUCUAAAUAUAUGAAAUUACUAGUUCCAACAUAUUGAGAACACACUUGACAGAGGAUGCUAUAAAGAAACUGGAUACAAGCUAAACCCGUGGACUUCCUAGAAUAUGCUACUACAACUGAAUCCCCCUCUAUAACCAUGAACACUUCAAGCACGAGCAGCAAACUGGUCAGCAGAAAACCGAGCUCUUAGUGCUACCCAAUAAUAACAGAAAACCGAGCUCUUAGUGCUACCCAGCUUUACAUCUUAACAUAAUACAAGAUCCACUGGGCAUUUCGGUAGAACCAUUCAUUAUUACUAGCCCACUACAAAAAAUAUAUGAACACUAGUCCUAUAUAACCCAAAUAGAAAAUGUGGGUGCAUAGGGGAGGGGACGAACCAAAUGUAGAAUAGGAGUUGCUUUCAGUGUUCC